ensembl:snoRNA
AGCCGGUGAUGACAAACUAAUUUCUGACACCUACUAUGACAGCUGACCUACAGCUUGUGAUUCUACUGUUGAUCCUGAGGCUU